GACGAACGCUGGCGGCGUGGAUUAGGCAUGCAAGUCGAACGGUAUCAUCCUUUCGGGGGUGAGAGAGUGGCGAACUGGUGAGUAACACGUAGGUUAUCUACCCUCAAGACGGGGACAACCCAGGGAAACUUGGGCUAAUACCGGAUGUGAGCAACUUUUAGUUGUUUGAAAGGUGGCGUAAGCUGUCGCUUGGGGAUGAGCCUGCGUCCUAUUAGUUAGUUGGUGAGGUAACGGCUCACCUAGGCAAUGAUAGGUAGGCGGCCUUAACGGGUGGUCGCCCACACUGGGAUUGAGAUACGGCCCAGACUCCUACGGGAGGCAGCAGUCGAGAAUAGUCUACAAUGGUCGGAAGACUGAUAGUGCGACGCCGCGUGAACGAUGAAUCCCUUCGGGGUGUAAAGUUCUUUUAUAUGUGAGCAGUGCUUUCUAUGUGAACAGCAUGGGGAGAGAGAUAUUAGCAUAUGAAUAAGCAACGGCUAACUCCCGUGCCAGCAGCCGAC
rnacentral:rRNA from 1 species